rnacentral:misc_RNA from 1 species
GCUGAUGGCGCAGGGAGG